CCUACGGGUGGCAGCAGUGAGGAAUAUUGGUCAAUGGACGAGAGUCUGAACCAGCCAAGUAGCGUGAAGGAUGACUGCUCUAUGGGUUGUAAACUUCUUUUAUAAAGGAAUAAAACGAGGAACGUGUACCUUUUUGCAUGUACUUUAUUAAUUAGGAUCGGCUAACUCCGUGCCAGCAGCCGCGGUAAUACGGAGGAUCCGAGCGUUAUCCGGAUGUAUUGGGUUUAAAGGGAGCGGAGAUGGGUUGUUAAGUCAUUUGUGAAAGUUUACGGCUCAACCGUAAAAUUGCAAUUGAUACUGGCAGUCUUGAGUACAGGUGGGGUAAGCGGAAUUCGUGGUGUAGCGGUGAAAUGCUUAGAUAUCACGAAGAACUCCGAUUGCGAAGGCAGCUUACUAAACUGCCACUGACAUUGAUGCUCGAAAGUGUGGGUAUCAAACAGGAUUAGAUACCCUUGUAGUC
rnacentral:rRNA from 1 species